rnacentral:rRNA from 1 species
GUGGGGAAUCUUCCGCAAUGGACGAAAGUCUGACGGAGCAACGCCGCGUGAACGAUGACGGCCUUCGGGUUGUAAAGUUCUGUUAUACGGGACGAAUGGUACGACGGUCAAUACCCGUCGUAAGUGACGGUACCGUAAGAGAAAGCCACGGCUAACUACGUUCCAGCAGCCGCGGUAAUACGUAGGUGGCAAGCGUUGUCCGGAAUUAUUGGGCGUAAAGUGCGCGCAGGCGGCGUCGUAAGUCGGUCUUAAAAGUGCGGGGCUUAACCCCGUGAGGGGACCGAAACUGCGAUGCUAGAGUAUCGGAGAGGAGAGCGGAAUUCCUAGUGUAGCGGUGAAAUGCGUAGAUAUUAGGAGGAACACCAGUGGCGAAAGCGGCUUUCUGGACGACAACUGACGCUGAGGCGCGAAAGCCAGGGGAGCAAACGGGAUUAGAAACCCGGGUAGUCC